AGACCUCUGACAUGAGAGAGAUCAUCAUCAGGAAGGUGCUGCUCCCAGGACGAGUCUAACCUAUUGCACUGCGUGUUUGCUGCCGCCUGCGAUGUCCCCAAAUGCGGGACACUCGGCUGCAGACCGUGUGUGAGCGGGUCCUGUGUCCUGUGUCGGCGCUCUCCUC